rnacentral:rRNA from 1 species
CACCAGCGCCACGAGUGGGAGCCGCGUUUAUUGGGCCUAAAGCGUCCGUAGCAGGUCUUAAAAAUCUCUUGUGAAAUUGUGUAGCUUAACUAUACAACGUGCAGGAGACACUAUUUGACUAGGGACCAGGAGAGGUUAGGAGUAUUCUUGGGGGAGCGGUAAAAUGUUAUAAUCCCAAGAAGACUACCAGUGGCGAAGGCGCCUAACCAGAAUGGGUUCGACUGUGAGGGACGAAAGCCAGGGGAGCGAUCAG